rnacentral:rRNA from 1 species
UGAGGAAUUUUCGUCAAUGGGGGCAACCCUGAACGAGCAACGCCGCGUGCAGGAAGAAGGUUUUCGGAUCGUAAACUGCUUUUCUUGGGGAAGAGAACGGACGGUACCCAAGGAAUAAGCCCCGGCUAACUACGUGCCAGCAGCCGCGGUAAUACGUAGGGGGCAAGCGUUGUCCGGAUUUAUUGGGCGUAAAGCGCACGCAGGCGGUCUUGUAAGUUUUGAGUGACAGGUGGUGGCUCAACUGCCACAGGCCUUGAAAAACUGCCAGACUUGAGGGCUUCAGAGGGACGCGGAAUUCCAGGUGGAGCGGUGAAAUGCGUAGAGAUCUGGAAGAACACCAAUGGCGAAGGCAGCGUCCUGGGAAGCGACUGACGCUCAUGUGCGAAAGCUAGGGGAGCGAACGG